ACUCAAAUGAAUUGACGGGGGCCCGCACAAGCAGCGGAGCGUGUGGUUUAAUUCGAUGAUACGCGAAGAACCUCACCCAGGUUUGACAUGCAUGUGGUACUGAUGUGAAAGCUGAGGGACCCUUCGGGGAGCAUGCACAGGUGUUGCACGGCCGUCGUCAGCUCGUGCCGUGAGGUGUUGGGUUAAGUCCCGCAACGAGCGCAACCCCUGUCGCCAGUUGUACUUUUCUGGCGAGACUGCCGAGAAAACCUCGGAGGAAGGAGGGGACGAUGUCAGGUCAGCGUGGCCCUUACGCCUGGGGCUACACACACGCUACAAUGGGCAGUACAACGGGUCGCGAAGCCGCGAGGCGAAGCUAAUCCCAUCAAAGCUGUCCUCAGUUCGGAUUGCAGGCUGAAACCCGCCUGCAUGAAGCCGGAGUUGCUAGUAACCGCAGGUCAGCAUUACUGCGGUGAAUACGUUCCCGGGCCUUGUACACACCGCCCGU
rnacentral:rRNA from 1 species